CGGGAAAGAGAUUGAGAAAUUUAAGUCGGGCAGAUAGGUUCAUCUUUGGAAAAGAGCUCAAUUUUUCAUCGUGUUUUUUGGAGUUAAUUCGGAAGCAAGUCGAUGAACAAAUCGAUGAAGUCAAACAUAGGUGGAAACGCAAAGGAGAGGGACCAAAUUGGCUCGAACCUUGAGGACAAGGUUCAUUUCAAGAGGGGUGGUUUGAUACGAUAUAUUAAUAUAUAUCGUUUAAUUAUUAGAUAGUUAGUAUUUUUAUUAUUAAUUAAUUAGAAUAGUUUGUUAGGUUUAUUAUAUACAUAGCCGUGUGUUUAG
rnacentral:lncRNA from 1 species